rnacentral:rRNA from 1 species
AACAAACGCUGGCGGCGUGCCUAACACAUGCAAGUCGUACGAGAAAGGGUCCUUCGGGGCCUGAGUAAAGUGGCGCACGGGUGAGUAACGCGUGGAUAAUCUGCCCUUCAGUUGGGAAUAACUCAUCGAGAGGUGGGCUAAUACCGAAUAAUGCUGUGAGACCUCGGUUGAUCAGCCAAAGAGAGCCUCUGCUUGCAAGCCCUCGCUGAAGGAUGAGUCCGCGUACCAUUAGCUAGUUGGUAGGGUAAUGGCCUACCAAGGCGACGAUGGUUAGCUGGUCUGAGAGGGUGAUCAGCCAAACUGGAACUGAGACACGGUCCAGACUCCGACGGGAGGCAGCAGUGAGGAAUCUUGCGCAAUGGGGGCAACCCUGACGCAGCAACGCCGCGUGAGUGAGGAAGGUCUUCGGAUCGUAAAGCUCUGUCGGAUGGAAAGAACCGCAUAGGGGUAAACAGCCCCUGUGUCUGACGGUACCAUCAAAGGAAGCACCGGCUAACUCCGUGCCAGCCGCCGCCGUAAAAC